CGGCGAGUGAAACGGCAAAAGCUCAAAUUUGAAAUCUGGCACCUUCGGUGUCCGAGUUGUAAUUUGAAGAUGGUCAACCUUGGGGUCCGGCUCUUGUCUAUGUCCUUGGAACAGGACGUCAUCAGAGGGUGAGAAUCCCGUGUCGAUCGAGAUGCCCAGUCCUAUGUAAGGUGCUUUCGAAGAGUCGAGU
rnacentral:rRNA from 1 species